GGGUGCUUGAGGCUAUCUGUCUCAGGCAUUGGCCAAAAGGCAGAUAGAAAAAAGCCCCAGACAUAUUCAACGUCCGGCAAGACGUUAAACAUUAAUCUGAGGCCAUAUCUAUGCCUAGCAACAUAAGAUUAGCCUCUUACAGACCCUCGGGUCAAGGAGAAGCAGGCUAUG
rnacentral:antisense_RNA from 1 species